rnacentral:rRNA from 1 species
GACGAACGCUGGCGGCGUGCCUAAUACAUGCAAGUAGAACGCUGAAGAGAGGAGCUUGCUCUUCUUGGAUGAGUUGCGAACGGGUGAGUAACGCGUAGGUAACCUGCCUGGUAGCGGGGGAUAACUAUUGGAAACGAUAGCUAAUACCGCAUAAUAUUAAUUAUUGCAUGAUAAUUAAUUGAAAGAUGCAACUGCAUCACUACCAGAUGGACCUGCGUUGUAUUAGCUAGUUGGUGAGGUAACGGCUCACCAAGGCGACGAUACAUAGCCGACCUGAGAGGGUGAUCGGCCACACUGGGACUGAGACACGGCCCAGACUCCUACGGGAGGCAGCAGUAGGGAAUCUUCGGCAAUGGGGGGAACCCUGACCGAGCAACGCCGCGUGAGUGAAGAAGGUUUUCGGAUCGUAAGGCUCUGUUGUAAGAGAAGAACGGGUGUGAGAGUGGAAAGUUCACACUGUGACGGUAUCUUACCAGAAAGGGACGGCUAACUACGUGCCAGCAGCCGCGGUAAUACGUAGGUCCCGAGCGUUGUCCGGAUUUAUUGGGCGUAAAGCGAGCGCAGGCGGUUAGAUAAGUCUGAAGUUAAAGGCUGUGGCUUAACCAUAGUAUGCUUUGGAAACUGUUUAACUUGAGUGCAGAAGGGGAGAGUGGAAUUCCAUGUGUAGCGGUGAAAUGCGUAGAUAUAUGGAGGAACACCGGUGGCGAAAGCGGCUCUCUGGUCUGUAACUGACGCUGAGGCUCGAAAGCGUGGGGAGCAAACAGG